rnacentral:lncRNA from 1 species
UACACUCGUUGUCAAUGAUUUUAUUUUCUCUGCAGUGGAAUCCAUGAAAGCCAGAAGCACUGCUGGGGCCAUGGCUCACAAGGUUCAUGGGACCAGUCCUGGGCCUGACUACUGGAUGAUUAUUGUUAAAAAACAAAGCAGAACACAGAGAAUGAGUCACUUGCCGUAGACAUCACAAAUCUCUCGGGAAUGGUGAAAAUUUCGUGAGACUUCCUUUAAAUAACUCUCUACCCACAAAGCACCAGAGGAAAGAUGGUCACAGGGCCUGAUCCCUCUCAGGAUGUGGAGUGCUACCGUCCAGCCUGGACGUACAAGGCAGCGUGUUUAAAACGCUGGGUGGUGGCAGGCUGUUUGCAUGUCUUUCUGCUCAGGGAGGCCCAGGCACGUCCUCCUCCUGGUCACUAAGCUCUGAGGGGGUCAGAUCCGGAGGACACACGGGGACACGCGUCAGGCUCACUGAGCAGGUUUGUGGCUGAUUUCUCUGUGGCAGGAAUGACUGGCAUAGAGUGAACUUCGAAGACCAGGCAGAGAGCUUUGCCCUUGGCAGAAGACACACAGUGAGGAAACAGACUGGGAGAGGCAGAAGGCCACACACCAGGGAGGGUUGGCAGCAGCUGGAGGCCAGGUCCUGGACCCCUGGGAUGAGCUCCUCCCUCUGCCUAGUGCUGCUUCUCGGCUCUGGGGAGGAAUUUAGGGGAAACUGGCUUUAGACUGAGGCAUUUCUGUCCAGGCCAGGGUGGCCCAGGACAGAAGUGUCUGUGGCCAGGUUAGAGCCCAGGGCUCACUGGAUCCUAGGGUUGUCUAUUCCCAGGGACUGCAGGGAUGGGUGGGCCCAGCCCAGCAGCCCAGCAGCCCAGCAGCCCAGCAGCCCAGCAGCCCAGCAGCCCAGCAGCCAGUCCCACCUGUGCCCCAGGUUGCAUCCCCGAGUACUGUGCGAGUUUUCCUGGGGGCCCUCUCUGCCCCCUUCCAAGGCAGGGCAGCCUCCGGGGUCCUUUUCUGGACACACACACUGAAGCUGAUUCUUUUCCUCUUCCUGGUGAGCCCAG